UUAGCUAGAGGGUUCUUCUCUACACAUGACACAUAUGCAACCUAAAUUGAUUUUCAGUUGUUCUUUCAAUAAAUUGUGAAUCUCAACACUUCAGAUUAACCGUGAACAGCACUUUUUUAAUCUUCCAGUUUUCCUUAAGUUAUUGAAUUGGACGGGAAAACGCAUACAACAAUUCCAAACAUUCUUCAAAAGUCCCCUACGUGAAAAGCACAAUAGAGAUACAAU
rnacentral:lncRNA from 1 species